rnacentral:lncRNA from 1 species
AUGAACAAACAGUGUGGAUUGAGCACCAAUGCAUGGUUCACACUGUUUCAAGCUGGGAGUUCAAAGAUGAAGUGUCUGUGUUGGAGGUUAGUGACAGCUGCCAAUCUGCGGACGGAUGUCGACCCAGCCUGCAGCUCUCAGGCACCAUUGUCUGGAGAAGGAAAAAUGACUCCACGGUGCUGUGUGGGGUCCCCGUCUCUGCGCAGCAGUCAUGCUCCAGGGAGGGGCUCUGUGGAUCCAGAUGCAGCUGAAACAGAACAACACAAAUGGAAAACGCACGCACACACACUAACUGAAGGAACAAGGAAGCAUUCGGUGGGUGCUCUCUUUCUGGCUUUGUGGAAGAAGAUUCACGAUGGUCCAGCCUCACUCAGAGGCCAAAAACUAAUGACAAUGGGAAUGUUGACAGACCUUUUCUGUCUUCUCGGAGAUGUUUUAAGAAGCUCCCUUGAGAGAGGUAGAAGAGAAAUGUGA